rnacentral:lncRNA from 1 species
AGAAAGUGAAUUGGUAACAUUUUUUCCUCCCACUGAUGUCCCUUUUCUCCUUCUUCCCACCCCACAAUCCCCAAGCUAUGUAACCAUUUGUUGUUAUUGUUGUUGUUGUUGGCAUUACAGAACUUUUGAACAUUUAAUGUGGUGUCAAGUCAUAAGUUUCUCUCUUACAGAAUGUUUGACGUGGGAGGCCAGAGAUCAGAGCGGAAGAAGUGGAUUCACUGCUUUGAAGGCGUGACUGCCAUCAUCUUCUGUGUGGCCCUGAGUGACUAUGACCUGGUUCUUGCUGAGGAUGAAGAAAUGGCAAGUAGAAGCAGUUGCGGGGGUGGCAUGAAGUGUCAAGAGCUGCAGACAUUGCCAAGACCUUAGCUGAGAAACCUUGAGAAGUCAGUCCUUGCUCAUGAAGGGAGUGUUUGAGAGUCCAGGUUCUUGUUCCUUGCUUCACAGAGGGUACAGAUCCUUAGAAGGCACUCGUGCCGCUUCUCCAUCUGGAUACCUGGCAAUUUCCUGUAUCUGCUCAAGGCUCAUAGUUCCCCACGAGCUACUACUCUGUCAGCCUGUAUUCUUUGUUAAGUGUUAUUCUUCUCUAGCUCUAGAAAGACAGCGUUCAAAUAACAUCCAAUAAAUGCACCGUUACUCUGGGGAAAUAUUUUCUUUAAUUACACUUAAAACUCUGGCAUUUAUGUACUUGUGGAAAUUCCGGGCAGGUUUUAGGUUUUUCUAAACCAAGUUUAGACAGUUGUUGGCCAGGGCGGAAGUGGAGCAUAACGUAUACAUUGCUUUCUUUUCCUCACUGGAAGACACACCUGUGUCCUCUUUGAACACAGAGCCC